UACGAAGGGGGGCUAGCGUUGCUCGGAAUCACUGGGCGUAAAGCGCACGUAGGCGGCUUUUUAAGUCAGGGGUGAAAUCCUGGAGCUCAACUCCAGAACUGCCUUUGAUACUGGGAAGCUUGAGUCCGGGAGAGGUGAGUGGAACUGCGAGUGUAGAGGUGAAAUUCGUAGAUAUUGGGAAGAACACCGGUGGCGAAGGCGGCUCUCUGGACCGAUACUGACGCUGAGGCGCGAAAGCGUGGGGAGCAAACAGG
rnacentral:rRNA from 1 species